ensembl:snRNA U6 U6 spliceosomal RNA
GUGCUUACUUCAGCAACACACAUACUACAAUUGGAAUGAUACACAGAAGAGUAGCAUGGACCCUGUGCAAGGAUGACAUCCAAAUUUGUGUAAAAUUCCAUUUCAAA